UACAGAGGUCUCAAGCGUUGUUCGGAUUCAUUGGGCGUAAAGCGCGCGUAGGCGGUUUGGUAAGUCGGAUGUGAAAACCAGAGGCUCAACCUCUGGCCUGCAUCCGAUACUGCCCGACUAGAGGGUAGGUAGGGGAGAUCGGAAUUCCUGGUGUAGCGGUGAAAUGCGCAGAUAUCAGGAGGAACACCGGUGGCGAAGGCGGAUCUCUGGGCCGUUACCUGACGC
rnacentral:rRNA from 1 species